AGAGUUUGAUCCUGGCUCAGAACGAACGCUGGCGGCGUGCCUAACACAUGCAAGUCGCGCGAGAAAAGGGGGGCAACUCCCUGAGUAAAGCGGCGCACGGGUGAGUAACACGUAGGUAAUCUACCCUCGAGUCCAGGAUAACCUACCGAAAGGUGGGCUAAUACCGGAUAUGACCACGGGAGUUUCGGCUCCUGCGGUGAAAGGUGGCCUCUGCUUGCAAGCUACUGCUCGGAGAUGAGCCUGCGGGCCAUUAGCUAGUUGGUGAGGUAACGGCUCACCAAGGCGAUGAUGGCUAGCUGGUCUGAGAGGAUGGCCAGCCACACUGGGACUGAAACACGGCCCAGACUCCUACGGGAGGCAGCAGUGGGGGAUAUUGCGCAAUGGGCGAAAGCCUGACGCAGCGACGCCGCGUGGGUGAUGAAGGCCUUCGGGUCGUAAAGCCCUGUCGAGGGGAACGAAACGGUCUCGACCUAACACGUCGAGUCCCUGACGGUACCCCUAAAGGAAGCACCGGCUAACUCCGUGCCAGCAGCCGCGGUAAUACGGAGGGUGCAAGCGUUGUUCGGAAUCACUGGGCGUAAAGGGCGUGUAGGCGGUCCGCUAAGUCUGAUGUGAAAGCCCGGGGCUCACCCCCGGAAGGGCAUUGGAAACUGGCGGACUCGAGUCCCGGAGAGGAAGGUGGAAUUCCUGGUGUAGCGGUGAAAUGCGUAGAUAUCAGAGGAAUACCGGUGGCGAAGGCGGCCUUCUGGACGGUGACUGACGCUGAGACGCGAAAGCGUGGGGAGCAAACAGGAUUAGAUACCCUGGUAGUCCACGCUGUAAACGAUGAGCACUAGUGUCGUGGUAUUGACCCCCGCGGUGCCGACGCUACGCAUUAGUGCUCCGCCU
rnacentral:rRNA from 1 species